rnacentral:lncRNA from 10 species
AUAAUACGUGCCUUUGCUCCUCCUUCACAUCAUGCCAUGAUCAUGAGGCCUCCCCAGCCAUGUGGAACUAUACAGCACCAUCUCCCUAUUCCAGGCUCGCAGUGGGAAAGACGAGGCACUGGAAUGUCACCAGGGAAGGGAUAGCAGCUGUCUCUUCAUCUUUCUUUCUCUCAGGGUUCACAAAACCCUGACUCCGCUUGCGUUGCACCACACUGUAUAGAUUGCAUUUAUUUGUUUCACUUGUAAAUUCUCAACAUAUUCGACCUCAAAUGUAUCUUUAGAUGCAGUAUAUUUUUCAAAUACAAUCACUGGUGAUAACAUUCUGUCGAAUGGCAUUUUUUAAAAAUCUGAAUAACCUUCCCUUACUUCCAUAAACAUAGUAAAUAUUUCUAGUAUUCAUUUCAUACAUUAGCUAUUGGCUAAAUUAGAAUAAAUAAUGUUCUUUACUCUGACAAGAGAAUUCAAAAUGAAUCUUUAUGAAGUCAGAUAGGAUUUGGCAAUUUUUUUUUUGGUUACCUAUUUAACAUGGCAGUAAAAUCAAAUUACCAAGGUCAAUAAACUAAUUUUUGAUUUCCUCAUAUGGACCAAUUAUGCGACCUGUGUAUCAUACCUGUCACACCAAACUUAUGCCACAUAGACCAUGUAGCAGACAUGUCAUAAAGAGUCAAAAGGAAAGUGUAACACAAUAAUCAAGUUUCUAUAAUGUUAAUAAAUGUUCAUUUUUAUGGAGAAAAAAAUUAAGUUUUCAAAUUUAAGUAAAGAAAAGAAAAAAUAGACAUUUCCACUUAAAAAUUGUUGUGUUUGAAUAGUUUUGGAAAUAUAUAAACAUAGCUUUAGUGAGGACCUUUAAUUAAUACAGCUCCUUGGUGUAUUUUUGUUUUGGAUUACAGAUUAUCAAAUGGAGGUCUGAAAAUAUUCUGAUGCAUAUAUAAUAUUAUCUUCUAUUUUAAAAGUAUAAAAUACUACAAUUUACUUUAAAUCUCUACUCUGUCUUGAAGCUAAACAUAAAUGUGUCAUUUUCAAAUUAUCAUAAUUGUUUUCUUUUCAUCUUCCAUUUACAUCUGCAAAGAAAAACUUUAUUUUUACCAUAUUA